rnacentral:rRNA from 1 species
AUUGAUUGCUGCUUGCAUCAUGAUUUACAUUUGAGUGAGUGGCGAACUGGUGAGUAACACGUGGGAAACCUGCCCAGAAGCGGGGGAUAACACCUGGAAACAGAUGCUAAUACCGCAUAACAACUUGGACCGCAUGGUCCGAGCUUGAAAGAUGGCUUCGGCUAUCACUUUUGGAUGGUCCCGCGGCGUAUUAGCUAGAUGGUGGGGUAACGGCUCACCAUGGCAAUGAUACGUAGCCGACCUGAGAGGGUAAUCGGCCACAUUGGGACUGAGACACGGCCCAAACUCCUACGGGAGGCAGCAGUAGGGAAUCUUCCACAAUGGACGAAAGUCUGAUGGAGCAACGCCGCGUGAGUGAAGAAGGGUUUCGGCUCGUAAAACUCUGUUGUUAAAGAAGAACAUAUCUGAGAGUAACUGUUCAGGUAUUGACGGUAUUUAACCAGAAAGCCACGGCUAACUACGUGCCAGCAGCCGCGGUAAUACGUAGGUGGCAAGCGUUGUCCGGAUUUAUUGGGC